CAGUAGCCACGGUAAUACGUAGGGUGCGAGCGUUAAUCGGAUUUACUGGGCGUAAAGCGUGCGCAGGCGGCCCGUUAAGGCAGGUGUGAAAUCCCUGGGCUCAACCUAGGAAUUGCGCUUGUGACUGGCGGGCCCGAGUACGGUAGAGGGGGGUGGAAUUCCUGGUGUAGCAGUGAAAUGCGUAGAGAUCAGGAGGAACACCGAUGGCGAAGGCAGCCCCCUGGGCCUGUACUGACGCUCAUGCACGAAAGCGUGGGGAGCAAACAGGAUUAGAUACCCCUGUGUCCCUGUCUCUUAUACC
rnacentral:rRNA from 1 species